AGAGUUUGAUCAUGGCUCAGGACGAACGCUGGCGGCGUGCCUAAUACAUGCAAGUCGAACGGGGUCCAUUCGGUAGCAAUACCGAUGAAGACCUAGUGGCGAACGGGUGAGUAACACGUGAGCAACCUACCCCGGAGACCGGGAUAACACCGGGAAACCGAUGCUAAUACCGGAUGUCCCCAUUGGUCCUCAUGGACCGAUGAGGAAAGGACUUCCGCUCCGGGCGGGGCUCGCGGCCUAUCAGCUUGUUGGUGCGGUAACGGCCCACCAAGGCGACGACGGGUAGCUGGUCUGAGAGGACGAUCAGCCACACUGGGACUGAGACACGGCCCAGACUCCUACGGGAGGCAGCAGUAGGGAAUCUUGCGCAAUGGGCGAAAGCCUGACGCAGCAACGCCGCGUGGGGGAUGAAGGCCUUCGGGUUGUAAACUCCUUUUAGUGGGAACGAAAAUGACGGUACCCACAGAAGAAGCCCCGGCUAACUACGUGCCAGCAGCCGCGGUGAUACGUAGGGGGCGAGCGUUGUCCGGAUUCAUUGGGCGUAAAGAGCUCGUAGGCGGCUUGGUAAGUCGGGUGUGAAACCUCCAGGCUCAACUUGGAGACGCCACUUGAUACUGCCAUGGCUGGAGUCCGGUAGGGGACCAUGGAAUUCCUGGUGUAGCGGUGAAAUGCGCAGAUAUCAGGAGGAACACCAGUAGCGAAGGCGGUGGUCUGGGCCGGUACUGACGCUGAGGAGCGAAAGCGUGGGGAGCGAACAGGAUUAGAUACCCUGGUAGUCCACGCCGUAAACGUUGGGCACUAGGUGUGGGGGCCUAUCGACGGUUUCCGUGCCGCAGCUAACGCAUUAAGUGCCCCGCCUGGGGAGUACGGCCGCAAGGCUAAAACUCAAAGGAAUUGACGGGGCCCGCACAAGCGGCGGAGCAUGUGGCUUAAUUCGACGCAACGCGAAGAACCUUACCUAGGCUUGACAUGUGGGUUAAGCGUGA
rnacentral:rRNA from 1 species